ensembl:snoRNA
CCUGCCCCUAGAUGAGUUGCAGCUGUGGCUGCUGUCCCGUGUGUGCAUCAGUGGGUGGAGGAGAGGAGGAAGGCUAUGUCUGCACUCCGCAUUCCGGCCUAUGAACACAUGAAUGCUUAGUAGCCUAACAUU